AACGAACGCUGGCGGCAUGCCUAACACAUGCAAGUCGAACGCCUGUAGCAAUACAGGAGUGGCGCACGGGUGAGUAACGCGUGGGAACCUGCCCUGGAGUGGGGGAUAACCGAGAGAAAUUUCGGCUAAUACCGCAUACGUCCUGAGGGAGAAAGAUUUAUCGCUCUAGGAGGGGCCCGCGUCGGAUUAGCUAGUUGGUGGGGUAACGGCCUACCAAGGCAACGAUCCGUAGCUGGCUGAGAGGAUGAUCAGCCACACUGGGACUGAGACACGGCCCAGACUCCUACGGGAGGCAGCAGUGGGGAAUAUUGGACAAUGGGGGAACCCUGAUCCAGCAAUGCCGCGUGAGUGAUGAAGGCCUUAGGGUUGUAAAGCUCUUUCGGCGGGGACGAUGAUGACGGUACCGCAGAAGAAGCCCCGGCUAACUUCGUGCCAGCCGCCGCCGUAAG
rnacentral:rRNA from 1 species